UAGUCCACGCCGUAAACGAUGUUUGCUAGUUGUCAGGCCCACAGGGUUUGGUGACGGAGAGAAAUCAUUAAGCAAACCGCCUGGGGAGUACGGCCGCAAGGUUAAAACUCAAAGGAAUUGACGGGGACCCGCACAAGCGGUGGAGCAUGUUGUUUAAUUCGAAGCAACGCGAAGAACCUUACCCACUCUUGACAUCCUCCUUGGGACUUUUAGAGAUAAUUGUCUUCGGUUCGGCCGGGGGAGUGACAGGUGCUGCAUGGCUGUCGUCAGCUCGUGUCGUGAGAUGUUCGGUUAAGUCCGGUAACGAGCGCAACCCUUAUUGAUAGUUGCCACCAUUCAGUUGAGCACUCUAUUGAUACUGCCGGUGAUAAGCCGGAGGAAGGCGGGGACACGUCAAGUCAUCAUGGCCCUUACGAGUGGGGGCUACAAACGUGCUACAAUGGGUAUGACAGUGGGGCAGCUAGGCCGCGAGGCCA
rnacentral:rRNA from 1 species